rnacentral:rRNA from 1 species
CUAAGUGGCGGACGGGUGAGUAAUGUAUAGUUAAUCUGCCCUUUAGAGGGGGAUAACAGUUGGAAACGACUGCUAAUACCCCAUACUCCUUUUACAUUAAUUGUAAUUGGGAAACGUUUUUUCGCUAAAGGAUGAGACUAUAUGGUAUCAGGUAGUUGGUGGGGUAAAAGCCCACCAAGCCAAUGACGCCUAGCUGGUCUGAGAGGAUGAUCAGCCACACUGGAACUGAGACACGGUCCAG